GGAGGUCCUGCGCUUCAUUUCCCCGUUGCAAUGGUGAUAUGACCAAUCUGUUGCCAUGUCGUCAGACCUGCAGCUAAAUCCUUUGUACACCUGAGUGAAGAGGAGCAGAGCUGUCAACUUAUCACCGCCUGGUGGAGAGUUUGAUCUGUCUUUGAACUCCGACUGACAGAAAAAUUCUCCUACAUGCUUGGGGACAUGAAGCCGAGAGAGCCAUAACUAAACAUAAUCUGUGAUCAGGGUGUCCCAGGGCAAUGUUUUGAAGGACACUGUAAGAGUGUUUGUGUCCACCUGACGUAGCACCAAGUAUUUCAACAAGGCUUUGCAUGUUAAAAGAAUAUUAAACUGAGUCAGUCACUAGAGGCUUUUGGCACAAAAAGCAAACAUGCAGCAUGAGGAAUUUGACUGUUUUGGCUCAAAUACAGUAGUACUUAAUCUAUUCAACUAUGUACAUGUUUUAUAUUUUCUAAAGAAAAACCGGGCAUUAAAUAGUGAUUAGAUGGUAAGGAAACCUCUAGAUCUUGAUGUCCUGGCUGUGGAGCAAAAACAAAGAACACUCUAAUGUUGCAGAUGUGUUGCACAUGGGCUCUUUUCAACGAAAAGGCUAAUACACUGAUAACAGCUCAGCCCCAUAGUAUUCACUGUCCCAGUGUGCCAUGACAAACUGACAGAGUCUCCAACACAAACAAAA